GCUAGGAUGAACGCUGGCGGCGUGCCUAAUACAUGCAAGUCGUACGCAGGGUAGCAAUACCUUGAGUGGCGAACGGGUGAGUAACACGUGGGUAACCUGCCCACUAGCCUGGGAUACCCGAGGGAAACUUCGGCUAAUACCGGAUACGUUCAGGAGAGGCAUCUCCCCUGAAUAAAAGCAGCUUCAAAGCUGCACUAGUGGAUGGACCUGCGGCGCAUUAGCUAGUUGGUGAGAUAACAGCCCACCAAGGCAAGGAUGCGUAGCCGACCUGAGAGGGUGAUCGGCCACAAUGGAACUGAGAAACGGUCCAUACUCCUACGGGAGGCAGCAGUAGGGAGUUUUCGGCAAUGGGGGAAACCCUGACCGAGCAACGCCGCGUGAGUGAAUGAAGGUCUUCGGAUUGUAAAGCUCUGUUGUAGGGGACGAAUGGCAAGGAGAGGAAAUGCUCUUUGCUUGACGGUACUCUACCAGAAAGCCACGGCUAACUACGUGCCAGCCGCCGC
rnacentral:rRNA from 1 species